rnacentral:rRNA from 1 species
UACGUAGGGGGCGAGCGUUGUCCGGAGUUACUGGGCGUAAAGCGCACGCAGGCGGUCUGUUAAGUUUGGAGUGACAGUUGGUGGCUUAACUGCCAAAGUGCUUCGAAAACUGACAGACUUGAGGGCUUCAGAGGGACACGGAAUUCCGGGUGGAGUGGUGAAAUGCAUAGAUAUGACACAGAACACCGAUUGCGAAGGCAGCUGACGAAACUGUAACUGACGCUGAGGCUCGAAAGCGUGGGGAUCAAACAGG